CAAUGACGAUGAGGAUGAGGAUGAUGAUGAUGAUGAUGAUGAUGAUGAUCAUGAUCAUCAUCAUCAUCAUCAUCAUCAUCAUCAUCAUCAAGAUGG
rnacentral:pre_miRNA from 1 species